rnacentral:rRNA from 1 species
AUUGAACGCUGGCGGUAUGCUUUACACAUGCAAGUCGAACGGCAGCACGGACUUCGGUCUGGUGGCGAGUGGCGAACGGGUGAGUAAUGUAUCGGAACGUGCCCAGUAGUGGGGGAUAACUACUCGAAAGAGUGGCUAAUACCGCAUGAGAUCUCUGGAUGAAAGCGGGGGACCGUAAGGCCUCGCGCUACUGGAGCGGCCGAUAUCAGAUUAGGUAGUUGGUAGGGUAAGAGCCUACCAAGCCAACGAUCUGUAGCUGGUCUGAGAGGACGACCAGCCACACUGGGACUGAGACACGGCCCAGACUCCUACGGGAGGCAGCAGUGGGGAAUUUUGGACAAUGGACGCAAGUCUGAUCCAGCAAUGCCGCGUGCAGGACGAAGGCCUUCGGGUUGUAAACUGCUUUUGUACGGAACGAAAAGCCUUCUUCUAAUACAGGGAGGUCAUGACGGUACCGUAAGAAUAAGCACCGGCUAACUACGUG